UUUUUUUCCUCUCUUUUCUUUAUGGACAAAUCAUAUUCCUUGAGUGGGAUAUAGGGACAAUCAUAUAGCUCGAGUUUCAUCCUUGGAAGUGGCAGAGAGUGUUCUUCAUUUAAUUAAUUGUUGUCUUCUUAAUUUUCAGGUCCUUUCGUUUUCUUCCCCUAAUCAUCAUUUUCAAAAAAAUUAAAAAAACCUUGAGAGAUCAUAAUUAUAGUAACACUACAUACAUUAAGGAUUAUAUUUGUGGCUGCAAUCGAUUGAUAGAGAGGUUGUGGGUGUCUAAGUGAUCGUGAAUCUUCCAUUCGUUCCUGUCUCUUAUACGUACUACAAACAAGGUGUUUAAUUGAUCAUCGUGAAUUUCUCAUUCGUUUAUCUCUUUACUAUCGAGUAAGUUCUUGUACAUAUUCUUCUUUUAUUUGUUUAUUAAUGUUUUCAUGAUACGCAUACAACCUUAAUUUAUAUGUCAUGAAAUUGCGUUAUUCAUAGAAAUUGCCUCUUUAACUCACAAGUCUUUGUGAUGCUAAUAUAAAUACAUCUAGACUAUAAUGUUUUAGGGUUAUUUAGGUUUUGAGUGAAGAUUACUUGAAGAAUAAUUCUUCUUUUAGGAUUUAAUAAGCUCUUUGUGGCUAGGUUGUCACAAAUCACUAGUUGUUCAAUUAUUCGAUCUUUAACCAUAAUCCAUAUGAAUUACCAAAUUAAAAAUCUCAUAAACCCUUUCAAGAUUGAAGGAUUGGUAAACCUUGAGUGCUAACUCUUUUCUAACUCUCUAUUAACUCUUUAAUAAAUAUCAUUAUCAGAGUUAUGAGUAACAUCAUUGUAUUUAUAGGAAAAACCUAACUCUAACUAUGUUAAAAUAUCACUUUGCUUCCUAAAAAAUAUCACAUGUUUUAUUUCAACACAACUUUUAAUUUUUUUUACAAUUAAGUCACUACUUGAUUUUUUCAGGCCCGUAAUUGCAAUCCCUUAUAUAAAUUACAUUCCAAUCCCUUAAUUUUUAGAAACUUAUUCAUAGUCAAGUCAAACUUGAUUUUAAUUUCUAGUUGUUCCUAAUAUGUUAACCCAAUUAUAAAUUAUAAUCGUAAUAAUUGAUUAAAAUAUAUUUGAAGAUGCAAUCUAUCAUGACCUUCAACAUAUUAAAAAACAUUAUUUGUGGUUUGAGUUGACCUUUCAACAACUUGUUUAUCAAUAUAACUAAUAUUCUUUCAUUUGUAUUGUUUUGAUAUAGACAUUUGACCAUAAAGUGCGUUUGUACUGAUAAAUCAUAUCAAUUUUCAUCACGAUAGUUAUUGAUUAUUUAAAUAAGAUUUGAAAUUUUUUCCAAAUAUCAUUCUACCUUAUAUAAGGAUUUCAAAACCAAUACUAUUUGAGAACACAUGUAAUAUUUUAUAGUUUUUAUGGUGAUGAAUCCUUUCUUGAUCACUCAAAUACCUUCAUAAAGUUUCUAUUAUAUCCAAUACCUGAUCAUUUUUUACAUUUGAUUAAAGAAACGUGUAGUGAAGAUUGAAAUUUAGUAUUUUCUAUAUAAAAUAAUUUAGUUAUCUCAAGUCUAAGUGAUGUGAUCCAAGCACCAUGGGAUCCAUUGGAGGUGGUUCCAGUUGGUCCACUUACAAGGCUUAGAGUUAAGAGCUUCAAAAAGGCUUUCAAUGGACUUCUUCAAGAUAUGUGAGUUAAGGUGGACUUCAAGAGGAUAUUAAAUAAUGAGGAGCAAGCCAUGAUUAACAAGAAGGGUUUGUUGGUGGAACCAAGACCAUUACACAAGGAUUGGGAGAAGAAGACUAGAUUCAGUCAGUUUGACCUUUCACUACCCUUUGUUUAUCAUAAAUGGAGCUACAGGUCGAAUGUUUAGGUGAUUCUAGUUGGGAUGUUCCAUACCUUUCCAACUGUUCAUGAUACGCCUUUUAAUUCUUUAAGAUGAGAGAGAACCACCCAUGUGAAGUUGGGAUUUGCUGCUGCCAGACAGAAUGCGGGAAUAACCGAACUUUUCUUAUUAAACUAGUUGAGCUAUUAGACUUUCUUUAUUUUAUGAGGAAACACUUGUUUGAGUUUCGGACUUGUUUAUUUUAUUUAUUUUAAUUAGUUUGGGCUAGUUUUAGCU